rnacentral:rRNA from 1 species
AUUGGAACCACCUGAUCCCAUCCCGAACUCAGUAGUGAAACGAUGCAUCGCCGAUGGUAGUGUGGGGUCUCCCCAUGUGAGAGUAGGUCAUCGUCAAGA